AGGCUGACCCAUCCCGGACGAGCCCCCAAUGUAAGGGUCCAGAGAUCGGUCUAACUGAUGGAGACACAGAAAAGACAGCGACAAUGCAACUGCAAAAGAG
ensembl:miRNA